rnacentral:rRNA from 1 species
UACGAAGGGGGCUAGCGUUGUUCGGAAUUACUGGGCGUAAAGCGCACGUAGGCGGCUUUCUAAGUCAGGGGUGAAAUCCUGGAGCUCAACUCCAGAACUGCCUUUGAUACUGGAAAGCUUGAGUUCGGGAGAGGUGAGUGGAACUCCGAGUGUAGAGGUGAAAUUCGUAGAUAUUCGGAAGAACACCAGUGGCGAAGGCGACUCACUGGCCCGAUACUGACGCUGAGGCGCGAAAAGCGUGGGGAGCAAACAGG